rnacentral:misc_RNA from 1 species
GUGAAUCAUCAAAUUUUUGAACGCAAAUUGCACUUUCUGGUAUUCCGGAAAGUAUGCCUGUUUGAGGGUCAUUUAAAUAAAAACCGGUGUUGUUGCUGUCUUUCGUGUUGACGCGUCGGAUUGGGGUUGUCUUACCUUCGGUUAAGCUUUUUAAAUUUCUGGCAUGAUUUUCGAAUGUUUUUAAAUCGUUUACGUACCUUGUA